AUUGAACGCUGGCGGCAGGCCUAACACAUGCAAGUCGAACGAGAGGCGGACGGGUGAGUAAUGUCUGGGAAACUGCUCGAUGGAGGGGGAUAACUACUGGAAACGGUAGCUAAUACCGCAUACCAUCGGAUGUGCCCAGAUGGGAUUAGCUAGUAGGUGGGGUAAAGGCUCACCUGGGCGACGAUCCCUAGCUGGUCUGAGAGGAUGACCAGCCACACUGGAACUGAGACACGGUCCAGACUCCUACGGGAGGCAGCCGUGGGGAAUAUUGCACAAUGGGCGCAAGCCUGAUGCAGCCAUGCCGCGUGUAUGAAGAAGGCCUUCGGGUUGUAAAGUACUUUCAGCGAGGAGGCGUUACUCGCAGAAGAAGCACCGGCUAACUCCGUGCCAGCCGCCGCGGUAAUUC
rnacentral:rRNA from 1 species